GAUGAACGCUGGCGGCGUGCCUAAUACAUGCAAGUCGAGCGAACGGACGAGAAGCUUGCUUCUCUGAUGUUAGCGGCGGACGGGUGAGUAACACGUGGAUAACCUACCUAUAAGACUGGGAUAACUUCGGGAAACCGGAGCUAAUACCGGAUAAUAUUUUGAACCGCAUGGUUCAAAAGUGAAAGACGGUCUUGCUGUCACUUAUAGAUGGAUCCGCGCUGCAUUAGCUAGUUGGUAAGGUAACGGCUUACCAAGGCAACGAUGCAUAGCCGACCUGAGAGGGUGAUCGGCCACACUGGAACUGAGACACGGUCCAGACUCCUACGGGAGGCAGCAGUAGGGAAUCCUCCGCAAUGGGCGAAAGCCUGACGGGGCAACGCCGCGUGAGUGAUGAAGGUCUUCGGAUCGUAAAACUCUGUUAUUAGGGAAGAACAUAUGUGUAAGUAACUGUGCACAUCUUGACGGUACCUAAUCAGAAAGCCACGGCUAACUACGUG
rnacentral:rRNA from 1 species